GAUGAACGCUGGCGGCGUGCCUAAUACAUGCAAGUCGAGCGAAUGGAUUAAGAGCUUGCUCUUAUGAAGUUAGCGGCGGACGGGUGAGUAACACGUGGGUAACCUGCCCAUAAGACUAGGAUAACUCCGGGAAACCGGGGCUAAUACCGGAUAACAUUUUGAACCGCCUGGUUCGAAAUUGAAAGGCGGCUUCGGCUGUCACUUAUGGAAGGACCCGCGUCGCAUUAGCUAGUUGGUGAGGUAACGGCUCACCAAGGCAACGAUGCGUAGCCGACCUGAGAGGGUGAUCGGCCACACUGGGACUGAGACACGGCCCAGACUCCUACGGGAGGCAGCAGUAGGGAAUCUUCCGCAAUGGACGAAAGUCUGACGGAGCAACGCCGCGUGAGUGAUGAAGGCUUUCGGGUCGUAAAACUCUGUUGUUAGGGAAGAACAAGUGCUAGUUGAAUAAGCUGGCACCUUGACGGUACCUAACCAGAAAGCCACGGCUAACUACGUGCCAGCAGCCGCGGUAA
rnacentral:rRNA from 1 species